UCGGCGCUAAUACCUCAUAAUGCAGCGGAUCCGCAUGGAUAUGUUGUUAAAGGUUUACCGCCUUGGGAUAGGCUUGCGUCUGAUUAGCUAGUUGGUGUGGUAACGGCACACCAAGGCUACGAUCAGUAACUGGUCUGAGAGGAUGAUCAGUCACACUGGAACUGAGACACGGUCCAGACUCCUACGGGAGGCAGCAGUGAGGAAUAUUGGGCAAUGCUCGAAAGAGUGACCCAGCAACGCCGCGUGGAGGAUGAAGGUAUUCUAUAUCGUAAACUCCUGUGAGAGCAGACGAAAGACAGAUUAUUAAUCUGGAUGACUGUAUGCUCAGAGGAAGCCCCGGCUAACUACGUG
rnacentral:rRNA from 1 species